GCGGGCGAGGUGGCGCAUGCCUGUAAUCCCAGCAGCUCGGGAGGCUGAGGCAGGAGGAUCGCAAGUUCAAAGCUAGCCUCAGCUUUCAAGGCCCUAAGCAACUCAGCGAGACCCUGUCUCUA
rnacentral:sRNA from 1 species